rnacentral:snoRNA from 12 species
AUACUGUGAUGCUUGCAUAGUUCAGCAGAUUGAAUUCUGAAGAAAUGUACCACUUGUCUGAUGUAUCU